GGAGUGAACCGGUAGGAUGGAAACGGAUAAAGCCAACAAACAAGCCUGUAUUCAGCUAGUUGGGGGCGUGCAACAUUCCAGUGUGCUCGAUAGGGUGCACGGGUUUGUGUGGUAUGCUUUCGGCUAGUGCAUUUACGGGUGAUGUGUGCCGAGGCGUGUGAUUUUGCAAUAUGAUCUGUUCGGAGAGGCCUAGUUUCGGCUUGGUACCUACGAACGGGGAGUGUUGACGGGGUUGCACGUAGACUUUUUUGGCUAGGUAGAGACGCGCUAAGGUGGUGUCAGUUUGACGCCUGGGUGAAUCGCAUGCGACUAGCCUAGGUGUUCGGAUUUAGGCAUUGCAGUAGUGAUCUAGCCAAUCCUCGGUGUAAAAGUUGGUCAUUUCUCCGACCCGUCUUGAAACACGGACCAAGGAGUCUAGCGUAUACGCGAGUCAUUGGGCGUAAAACCCAUAGGCGAAAUGAAAGUGAAGGUCUCUUUACGAGGCUGAUAUGCGAUCCGUUGGGCUACGGCCUGGCGGAGCAGCAUAGCCCCAUCUCGACUGCUUGCAGUGGGGUGGAGGUAGAGCGUAUUCGCUGGUACCCGAAAGAUGGUGAACUAUGCCUGAGCAGGAUGAAGCCAGAGGAAACUCUGGUGGAGGUCCGAAGCGCUUCUGACGUGCAA
rnacentral:rRNA from 1 species